CCUCGGGGAGAGAACAGACACUCAGGACCUCGGGCCCUGCCCCCACGAUUUCCACCCUCGACUCAUCCGAACUUCCGUUCCUAAUCAUCUCCGGUGAAGUGCACCUUUCGGGAAUAAACUUCCCUCAGCGCUGGCCUUUGUUACUUUCUGGCCGCGACACCCAGGGCUGCAGGCUGGGCCCACACAGCCGGCUUCCCUUGGAUGCCUCUCCCAGCCCCUGCUGGGACCCCCACCCCCUCCGGCCACGCUGUGCACUCCUCCGCAAUCCCCACAUGGCCACUCGAGAGUCACUGUCUGUAAAACUUCAGUCUUUUUAGGAAGGUUGUCUUGCUCAGUUAGCAGUUUCGUCAACCUUCUGAACCAGCGCGCUGACAGCAGGCAACUGUCGCUGAGAACAGAGUAAGACGCAAAUUACGACAUCACAGCAAGCACACCUCCCCGGGAAGCCGCUCGGAAAUUGUAUCCAAGUAAGAUUCGGCGCUAGGGCACCCCGAACACUUCCGACCUCGUUCACUCAAUCGCCCUAAGGACAGCGCUGUCACUGCUCCACUGCCUUACCCCAGCCGCGCACACACACGGACCCCACGGCUUUUAGAGGAAUGGCUCCUAGGCCGGGCAGGGAAGUAAAAAACAGGUGUCCUCCUCCGUUUAACAAAGCCCCGAAGAACAGGACUGAAAGAGCUGUGGUUAAGAAAAGACGCGUAUUUUGGUGCUGCGAAAUAAAAAUUUAACUUUGCGGAAAACGGAACUCGUGGAGCGUAAAAGUAGUCCCGGCGGGGCGGGGCUGUGACCCCUGACGUCGGCGGCGGGCGCGCAGUUCGAGUCGGACCGGGGCGGGAUGUGGGCGCGAGUCAACCGGGCGGCGGCGGAUUUCUACGCUGGCCUGCUGCAGGUAUUUAAUGAAGAAAAGAAAGGAAUCUGUAAGGACCCAUUUUUCUAUGAGGCUGAUGUUCAAGUGCAGUUAGUCAGCAAAGGCCAACCAAAUCCUUUGAAAAAUAUCCUAAAUGAAAAUGACGUUGUAUUCAUUGUGGAAAAAGUGCCUUUAGAAAAGGAAGAAACAAGCCAUGUUGAAGAACUGCAGUCAGAAGAAACUGCUAUUUCUGAUUUU